UACGUAGGGUGCAAGCGUUAUCCGGAAUUAUUGGGCGUAAAGAGCUCGUAGGCGGUUUGUCGCGUCUGCUGUGAAAACUGGGGGCUCAACCCCCAGCCUGCAGUGGGUACGGGCAGACUGGAGUGCGGUAGGGGAGAAUGGAAUUCCUGGUGUAGCGGUGGAGUGCGCAGAUAUCAGGAGGAACACCGAUGGCGAAGGCAGUUCUCUGGGCCGUAACUGACGCUGAGGAGCGAAAGCGUGGGGAGCGAACAGG
rnacentral:rRNA from 1 species